CCCGCCCGCCCCUCUGAAAUCUUCCGCCCUCGAUUUUUUUUAUUUUUGAAAAAAUUACGAUUUCCGGAUUUUGUUCAUUUCCGUUACCGGUAACCGUCUAUAACUUCGUUUCAAUCAAACUUCCUGUUUCACAAUUUCGGUUUUCGUAUUUCUUAGAGUAUUCUUACUAAAUUAUUAAGUCGAUAUAUUCUGCUGAUCUAUGAUGACAACAUCAUUUACCGAGAAUAGAGAUUGAUUACGAGAAAGGCAUGAAAUAUUCGGGUUACGAGUAAUACGCUGUGUCCAAGAACGCAAAUCGCCGUAUGUCACAAAUGUCACGUUGUGAUUUAAUAGAACACCUUGGAUUUUA
rnacentral:lncRNA from 1 species